AUUUCCUGACUCCUCUCAAAGCCAUUAUUAACUAAUUAAUGAUCACAUUGAAGGAUUUGUCUUCUUUUUCUUAGCUAUCACUGUACUGGCAGUGAGCUGACCUGUACUUUAACUUCCACUGUGGUAGGUUUAGUACUAUUGUACUAAUGACAAUUACUCUGAUUUAUGACUAUUAGGUGAGAAUGGAAUUUUCCCCAGUAAGUUUCUUAUAACCUGUGAGUACUGCAGUAGUAUCAGGGUUGAUUCAGACUGAAUCUAAAACAUAAAGCAACGCUCAUUGUCAAGCUGGAAGUGCAUGGACAUGAACUCACAUUGUGGAUGCUUUCUAUGCACUGUGAACACUGCAGGCUACUUCAUGUCCCUGCUAUUGAAAUCCUGUGGUUUUCUUUCAUAGAAAAGGGAUCUGUCUGUAUGCUUUAUAAAACUUAUGAACUCAUUGCAAAGAGAAAACAAAUGGACAGUGUAGAACAUUUCUCAAUAGCUUAGCUGAAAAGAGUUUUUCCUCCAGAAAUUUUUUUCUAAGGGAAAACCAUAAGCCUGAUUGCAACACAACCACAGCAUGGAGCGAGCCUACGGGGAUGGUGACUACUGGCACCAUUCAAACAAGGUGCUAUUUUGUCCUCUCUGGUCUUUAGGUCGAAUUAAUAAGCAUAAAUUCUGGUUUGCUGGGUUCCUGAAAAGCAAAAUGGGAUGCUUGAACACCUGAACAAGAGCUGUGUAGCAAAGGAGGGUGAAAAAGAAGAUGGACCACUCUGAAAUUACUGUUAGGCAGGUCCAUUUCUCUCCACCCAUAUUUCAGUCCUCCUUAGACUGGGGAUGACCUAAGCAGAAACCCUGGACAACCCAAGCACAGCAAGCCAGAAGAAGAUGAUAUUAAUGCUCCUACUGCAUGCCUACAAGGAGUAGCUCCACAAAGAUCUGGGCAACAUUUUGGCAGUGAAGACAAGAUUUCAGUGAUGCUCCAAAAAAGAAGGGUAAAUAAAAGCUGAAUGUAAAGCCCAGUGUAGCAAGAUUUCCUCUGCAGAAUGGAUGCUUGCUUUUUCAUUGCACCAGCUGAAUUCCCUAAAAUAAACAGAAUAACCAAUUUAAAGCAGAUGCAUGGAACAACAAUCAGGUUUCAUCUCUGGUUUUAAUCUUUUUGAACCACAGCAUUUGGCACUCAGAGCUCAAAGGAACUGCAGGCUGUAUCAGGAGUUUGCUGUAACUUAGCAGCUUGGAGGAAGCAGAUUUGUGACUACAUAACAGGGAGAGACGAAACAGCUCUGUUCAGAUAACCGGAUUAUAAUAAAAUAUGCAAGUUGGAACCUGGAGACAAAUGAACAUCCAGAGCUCCUGCCCAUGAAAUGUUAUCAAAUGCAGCUUGGGAACAACAGAGCUGAACAGUCGGUGGCCAGCUCCAGCACUGCGUCUGAAGUGAUGAAACAGUGAACUCAGGAGUUUUAUUGGUAGUUACUAUUCUGUGUGCCACCAAAAAAAAAAAAAAAAAAAAAAAGUGUGGAGUAAAUCAAUGUUAUGUGAAAUCUGGGCUCAUGAAUGAAGAGCAGUACGAUACCAUUUCAGUUCCCUUUGUGAAUUCUGGGAGCGCCUUUUUUUUUUUUUUUUUUUUUACAAGGCAGCAAAACCAAAAAAAAUCAUGAAAGCCACAUGGGUCUGAUUUCCCAUUUCCCUGCUCGCUGUGCUAUCAUUUACCUCAGAGACUUUGCAUCGUAUUGUGUGACUACCCACAGCAUCUGAUCCCAUGAGGCUGAAGUCAUUCUUCAAACAGCAAUCGUCAUUUAAGGACUUGAUGGAGGGGGAAGAUGAUGCCAGGCAAGACAGCGAAGCCCACACAAAGAAAUAUCUUUCAGACAAGCUGGAAAUUCCCUGGAGACCAGUCUUGUGACAUGGUUACACCAUCACAGACACUUUUCCAAAACAGUGGCUAUGAUGGGUGCCUCUUGACAAUUUGCCUGAGAAAAAAAGUGAAAAGCAGGGUGUUACUUACCUGCAUGUUCACACCGGGUUGCUGGGACAUUUGCUGAGAGCAGAGAUACCCCAAAACAGUAUUGGAGGAAAGCUUCACAAAUUUGUUGGGACCUCAGCAGGGUCUUCUUGUUUCUGCUUAUUUCUUCCAUGUAGUUUGAAGGGAUAAUUUAGAUGCUAUCGCUCUGGGAUGUGUGAGCCAUUCAAAAAAACCUUUCUCUGGAAAACCAGAUCUCUCUGGGUGCCCGGGUGAACAGCAGGCUGGGCCUGCUGCUGCUGUGUCCACCCGUCUUUGGAGACACAGGUUAUUUCAACUGUCUCUCCUUUGCUUCAAGUCAAGAGGGAGAGAGGGCUGUGGCUGCAGUAGCAGGGGAGGGAUGCAGCGCAGAGGCUUGCUCUGAAUGAAGUGGUAAGGAGCAGGAUGGUAUGCACGAGGGUAGAGCCCAGUCCAUCACUUAGCAAACGAGUUUUCUCUCAUUUGCCCUUUGUUUCUGAUUCUUUCUUCACUUUUUUUUUUCCUUUGUGAGUGAUUUAUCCUUAAGUGAUUUAUCUUUAUGUUCCCUGUAAGUAGACAUUAAGUAGCAGUAAAAAUUCAAAGGCAUCUCUGUCACGGUGUCUGAUGAACACCACUAACCUGCAGUGAAGAUAUCUACCUUGU